GAAGCAGUGCUGGGGAGGGGAAACCAAGGUUUGGAACCACACUAGCCUUCACAUUCCUGGGAGGAUACAACCCUCGCCUGGACGGGGAAGAUAGCGCUUUCUUUUUAUUUUUUUCUCUUUUUUGCCUUUCUGUUUUUAUUUUUGGAGGGGAGCGCCCAGUAAUUGUCUUGAACACAUGCUUCUUCCUCCCUCCUUCCUCCAGCCACCAGCGACAGAGAGUCCCCUUUUUUGCAUUUAUCAUUUUCCUUCCCCUUUCUUUAUUAAAGGUCCGGGAGUGGCGGCGGCCAAUCAGCGCUCGGCUUCCAUUUUGUGAGUUCAACUAGGAGGCUUCCCCGGCUUUUCGCGUGGAUUCUGGUUGCAGACCCCCUCGGUCUCUCUUCUCGGGCUGCCGAGGCGAAGCAGCCGCCUCGCCGGGGCUUCGUGGUGGUGUAUUUCAUAUUGGGGGCUCUUUUUCGGGGUUUGUAAUUUGGCCGUGGGUAGGUAAUUGGCUGGAGCUGGGCGGCAGGGUGCGGCAGCCAAUCAGCGCGCGGCUUCUAUAGGGCUUGAGUUAUUAGACGCUGAUCUCAAAACAUCCUUCAUCAGACUCCAAGGAGAGGCCAACAGAUGAGGGAGCCAUUUUUCUGCAAUGGAAUUAAAUGGCCAAGUGGGACUCACACUUGGAAGAAUGAAGAAGACCUUUUAAAAAGAUCUGGAUUUUUCCUUAUGACUUGGAAUCCAUCUUUGUCUUGUAUAACUAGGUCAUAGCACACUAUUAAUGUCAGCAGUUAACAGUUUUGAAUUCAAAAAAACCUAAAGCAGUAAACAGUCCUCAGCGAAGCCGCCUUUUUGCCAGCCCAACCCUGGAAAGUUUGCAGUCGUGGAAGGAGCAGAAAUACCACGAGUGUAACUUACAAAGAAGCUUUUUCUUCUAGACUCCAUGGCACCGGGCUGAGUGGGUCUUGGCCGGAGACCGGAGCAAUGUCUGUGUUAUCCCCCACUGUAGACAAUCGUUGCUUCCUCUGGACAUCUGGAGCAGGCCCAAUUUGACCGACAGCCUUCCCCGCUAAGGAAUUCCUGGACAAUCAGGAGUGCCCCAGGCCCCCUGAACAUCUUGCAGA
rnacentral:lncRNA from 1 species